rnacentral:rRNA from 1 species
UACGUAGGGGGCGAGCGUUGUCCGGAUUUAUUGGGCGUAAAGAGCUCGUAGGCGGUUUGGCAAGUCGGGUGUGAAAACUCCGGCUCAACUCGGAGACGCCACUCGAUACUGCCAUGACUCGAGUCCGGUAGGGGAGUGCGGAAUUCCUGGUGUAGCGGUGAAAUGCGCAGAUAUCAGGAGGAACACCGGUGGCGAAGGCGGCUUGCUGGGCCAGUUCUGACGCUGAGGAGCGAAAGCGUGGGGAGCGAACAGG